GUUUAGAAUAAAGUAGAUAAUGAUUGCCCUAUUCUCUUGUCUGGCUGGACACAUCUGCCAGUGCAUUCAGCAUCAGGGGCUACAUUUAGAGAAGAUCUGAGAAGCUGGAAUGAGUCCAGAGGGAGUUAUUUAAUAAUAGAAGUUCUGCUAAAUUCUUCAAGCUGGCUCAAAUAAAUUAGAAACAAAGAAAAGAGGUGAAGAAAAACACGAGCCCUCUCAAUUUUCUGGUUUUCCGCAAUAAUCACUGGAUAUGCUAAAAGACUGUGAAGUUCAUGAGUGUUAUUUGGACCCUUCUAUGGACCCUGCAUUUCUCAUCUACAAUUGCGAACUCCUGCUUCCCUCUCCCUAGUCCAGGAUGGCAUAGGAGUCUCAACCGCCCACUGUUUCUCCUGUCUUGUAGUCUUCUGAAACCCCAGCAUCUAUAUACAUAAUUCUUGCACUGGGAGUCACGCUGCUUGGUGGCGGGCACUAGAACCCCACAGCUGUUCCAGAACACCACCGGCUGGUUCUGUAACAAUAUCACUCAUGGCAUCCUGAUCAUUCUCGCCCUUGUUUGUUCAAGUAUCAUUAGGUCUGAAACCUAAAGUAUAACCUAUAUUAAAAAUUUUACAUAAAAAAUAAUACAGCUUAUAGACAGCUCUUCACUUUUUUCCUAUUUGGAUAUUUAGGAUGACAUUCAAACUCACCUUCAGAAAUAUGCAGGCCCUGUGCUAUGGCUAAGUUAAGUACUCCUCUGAGUCUAAAUUUGGCUUUAGUGACUUCCCUCCUCAUGUACGUUUCCACCCCAACCAAAAUGCUUACAACUUGCUAGCCAACAUUAGUAAAUGAGUCAAUUUAUUUCAUUUCAAUGUUUAUAUCAAUAUUUUGCAUAAAUGAAAGGCCUGAAAGAUAUAACGGAAGGUGGCAGUGGGUAAAAUCUUGUGAAAGGGGUGACAUGCAAACCCAACAAGCUCAGGGGAGGCCUGUGUGGUGGCCUUACAAACUCGGAUAUCUAAAGUAACCACAAGAUGGUGUGAAAUAAAAAACUCUCUAACUAAAAGCAGGUCAAAGUGGACAGUCAUGUCCUAGGCCAGUAUUUUUUCCUAACAAAGGUCGAUCUUUACCUUAACUGAGCCUGUCUUGUUGCCUGUCUAUUGACCUUUGGAAUGUCAAAUUUCCUUUUGCAGGACCCCCGCAAAGCACAGGCACUGUGCUAGGGUAAGACCACCAAUCCCCUCACUGUUAUCGAGUUGAUUGAUGACUGUUAAUUAUCCUGUACCCACCUGUGUAAGAGUAUCUAUCAUUUACCUUUUAUCCAACCCCAGAGGAUUCCCUGCUUUGCUUUCUCUCACCUCUCUAAUCUACCACCAAUGGAUUUCGUGUAACCCCAUUACGCCUCCACUUUUGAUUGUAAUG